rnacentral:rRNA from 1 species
UACGUAGGGGGCAAGCGUUGUCCGGAAUCAUUGGGCGUAAAGAGCGUGUAGGCGGUCCGGUAAGUCGGCUGUGAAAGUCCAGGGCUCAACCCUGGGAUGCCGGUCGAUACUGCCGGACUAGAGUUCGGAAGAGGCGAGUGGAAUUCCCGGUGUAGUGGUGAAAUGCGUAGAUAUCGGGAGGAACACCAGUGGCGAAGGCGACUACCUGGCCCAUUCUUGACGCUGAGGCGCGAAAGCUAGGGGAGCGAACGGG